rnacentral:rRNA from 1 species
GAUGAACGCUGGCGGCGUGCCUAAUACAUGCAAGUAGAACGCUGAAGGAAGGAGCUUGCUCUUUCCGGAUGAGUUGCGAACGGGUGAGUAACGCGUAGGUAACCUGCCUGGUAGCGGGGGAUAACUAUUGGAAACGAUAGCUAAUACCGCAUAACAGUAGAUGUUGCAUGAUAUCUACUUAAAAGGUGCAAUUGCACCACUACCAGAUGGACCUGCGUUGUAUUAGCUAGUUGGUGAGGUAACGGCUCACCAAGGCGACGAUACAUAGCCGACCUGAGAGGGUGAUCGGCCACACUGGGACUGGGACACGGCCCAGACUCCUACGGGAGGCAGCAGUAGGGAAUCUUCGGCAAUGGACGGAAGUCUGACCGAGCAACGCCGCGUGAGUGAAGAAGGUUUUCGAAUCGUAAAGCUCUGUUGUAAGAGAAGAACGAGUGUGAGAGUGGAAAGUUCACACUGUGACGGUAUCUUACCAGAAAGGGACGGCUAACUACGUG